rnacentral:tRNA from 1 species
GUCGUCCAAAUUACUAAAGGAAAGAAGUAGUGCAUACAAAAGUUUUUGAUAGUUUGGUAAAGAAAGGCGUUGUUAC